rnacentral:piRNA from 1 species
UGAGGCUUGAAUUAACGGUUCCAGUC